GAGUUUGAUCAUGGCUCAGAUUGAACGCUGGCGGCAGGCCUAACACAUGCAAGUCGAGCGGUAGAGAGAAGCUUGCUUCUCUUGAGAGCGGCGGACGGGUGAGUAAUGCCUAGGAAUCUGCCUGGUAGUGGGGGAUAACGGUCGGAAACGGACGCUAAUACCGCAUACGUCCUACGGGAGAAAGCAGGGGACCUUCGGGCCUUGCGCUAUCAGAUGAGCCUAGGUCGGAUUAGCUAGUUGGUGAGGUAAUGGCUCACCAAGGCGACGAUCCGUAACUGGUCUGAGAGGAUGAUCAGUCACACUGGAACUGAGACACGGUCCAGACUCCUACGGGAGGCAGCAGUGGGGAAUAUUGGACAAUGGGCGAAAGCCUGAUCCAGCCAUGCCGCGUGUGUGAAGAAGGUCUUCGGAUUGUAAAGCACUUUAAGUUGGGAGGAAGGGCAGUAAAUUAAUACUUUGCUUGUUUGACGUUACCGACAGAAUAAGCACCGGCUAACUCUGUGCCA
rnacentral:rRNA from 1 species